rnacentral:miRNA from 1 species
CACAGAGCCCAGUUACACUUGAAUUGCAGAUAAACAAGGAAUAAUUUUUAGUUUAAGGAUACCUCAUGCAAUAUUUGGGAGCUACUUAUGCUAAAAAAUUAUUCCUUGUUUAUUUGGAAUUCGAAUUUAGCAGGCAUCCUAUA